AUGAACGCUGGCGGCGUGCCUAAUACAUGCAAGUCGAGCGAACAGACGAGGAGCUUGCUCCUCUGACGUUAGCGGCGGACGGGUGAGUAACACGUGGAUAACCUACCUAUAAGACUGGGAUAACUUCGGGAAACCGGAGCUAAUACCGGAUAAUAUAUUUAACCGCAUGGUUCAAUAGUGAAAGACGGUUUUGCUGUCACUUAUAGAUGGAUCCGCGCCGCAUUAGCUAGUUGGUAAGGUAACGGCUUACCAAGGCAACGAUGCGUAGCCGACCUGAGAGGGUGAUCGGCCACACUGGAACUGAGACACGGUCCAGACUCCUACGGGAGGCAGCAGUAGGGAAUCUUCCGCAAUGGGCGAAAGCUUGACGGAGCAACGCCGUGUGAGUGAUGAAGGUCUUCGGAUCGUAAAACUCUGUUAUUAGGGAAGAACAAAUGUGUAAGUAACUAUGCACGUCUUGACGGUACCUAAUCAGAAAGCCACGGCUAACUACGUG
rnacentral:rRNA from 1 species